UACCAGCACCCCGAGUGGUCGGGACGAUUAUUGGGCCUAAAGCAUCCGUAGCCGGUUCUACAAGUCUUCCGUUAAAUCCACCUGCUCAACAGAUGGGCUGCGGAGGAUACUAUGGAGCUAGGAGGCGGGAGAGGCAAGCGGUACUUAGUGGGUAGGGGUAAAAUCCGUUGAUCCAUUGAAGACCACCAGUGGCGAAGGCGGCUUGCCAGAACGCACUCGACGGUGAGGGAUGAAAGCUGGGGGAGCAAACCGG
rnacentral:rRNA from 1 species